UAGGGAAUCUUCGGCAAUGGACGAAAGUCUGACCGAGCAACGCCGCGUGAGUGAAGAAGGUUUUCGGAUCGUAAAACUCUGUUGUUAGAGAAGAACAAGGACGUUAGUAACUGAACGUCCCCUGACGGUAUCUAACCAGAAAGCCACGGCUAACUACGUGCCAGCAGCCGCGGUAAUACGUAGGUGGCAAGCGUUGUCCGGAUUUAUUGGGCGUAAAGCGAGCGCAGGCGGUUUCUUAAGUCUGAUGUGAAAGCCCCCGGCUCAACCGGGGAGGGUCAUUGGAAACUGGGAGACUUGAGUGCAGAAGGGGAGAGUGGAAUUCCAUGUGUAGCGGUGAAAUGCGUAGAUAUAUGGAGGAACACCAGUGGCGAAGGCGGCUCUCUGGUCUGUAACUGACGCUGAGGCUAGAAAGCGUGGGGAGCAAACAGG
rnacentral:rRNA from 1 species